UAGGGAAUCUUCGGCAAUGGGGGGAACCCUGACCGAGCAACGCCGCGUGAGUGAAGAAGGUUUUCGGAUCGUAAAGCUCUGUUGUUAAGGAAGAACGAGUGUGAGAAUGGAAAGUUCAUACUGUGACGGUAUCUAACCAGAAAGCCACGGCUAACUACGUGCCAGCAGCCGCGGUAAUACGUAGGUCCCGAGCGUUGUCCGGAUUUAUUGGGCGUAAAGCGAGCGCAGGCGGUUAGAAAAGUCUGAAGUGAAAGGCAGUGGCUCAACCAUUGUAGGCUUUGGAAACUGUUUAACUUGAGUGCAGAAGGGGAGAGUGGAAUUCCAUGUGUAGCGGUGAAAUGCGUAGAUAUAUGGAGGAACACCGGUGGCGAAAGCGGCUCUCUGGUCUGUAACUGACGCUGAGGCUCGAAAGCGUGGGGAGCGAACAGG
rnacentral:rRNA from 1 species